AUGCCUUCCCUUCUUAAGGACUACAAUGCAAAAUCCUCUUGGACAGGUCUAUAAUAUCAGUACUCUUGGGAGCAAGCACGAGCUUGAGAUAUGGAAUGAGCAGAGGCGUGAGCUUCUGUGGACCACAAGGAACGACGACGGGCCAUGUGGGCAGCCAAGGCUUUUCAGCAUGGGAAGGAAGCAGCUAAAGGACAAUAGGAGCAAGACAUCAAAUGACUUUUUUCAGGGCUGAGUUCAGCGCAAAAGAAAGGGAAAAAGCAAGAAGGAAGAAGGAAGGCAGUGGGAAACCUCAAGGGAAGAACAGGGAUAUUUGGCCACAAAAGCCAAAUCAGUGGAAAGAAGUGAGUACGGUUUGGACCACCUGCUGUUGGGGUCUGUUUUAGAUGCUGCAACAGACUCUUCCUUGUUGAUGUAAGGAGCGAGAGGUUGGCAGUGCCAGGAGAUAUUCUCCAGCCAGGCUCCACUUCAAACCACUCCUGAGCUGCUGGUUUCAAAGUUCUUGAAAGAGAGCCAUUAUCCAGGCAACAGAUGUCCCGGACUGCUGGGCUUUCCUGGAGGAAAGCAACACGAAGGAUUGUUUUGUGGUAGCAUCUUUUCACCACGCCCUGCUGAAAAUACAGGCAAUAAACUGGAAGCAGCAAAGAAAUGUUUAUGAAAUAGCUUUCAUGGGCACUGCACAUGUGGUGAGAGGUUUGUAGAUUAGGUCAUGCCAUUUCCUGAAAAAUAUGUGCAAUGUUCUGGAUAUUUAACGGCAUAAAGAUGUAAUUAGCUUCAACUUUUUAAUGCUUUGGAAAACAGCAUCACCUUGAUUUGAAGAGAACUAUUAAAUAAGAUUGAGUUAC